GAUGAAUGCUGGCGGCGUGCCUUAGGCAUGCAAGUCAAGGGGGCUCCGUAAGGAGCAACCGGCAGACGGGUGAGUAACGCGUAGGAAUCUACCCCUAGGAACCGCAUAGCCCUCCGAAAGGAGGGGUAAUUCGGUAUGGUCUCGUAAGAGUAAAGGACUUAACGGUCCGCCAAGGGAGGAGCCUGCGUCCUAUCAGCUUGUUGGUGGGGUAAAAGCCUACCAAGGCAACGACGGGUAGCUGGACUGAGAGGUCGAUCAGCCACAACUGCACCGAAACACGGGCAGUACAUCUACGGAUGGCAGCAACCGGGAAUAUUGCGCAAUGGGGGAAACCCUGACGCAGCGACGCCGCGUGAAGGAAGAAGGCCUAUGGGUCGUAAACUUCUUUUGAUAGUCCGUUCACAGACUAUAGAAUAAGCCUCUACUAACUACGUGCCAGAAGUCUCGGUAAUACGUAGGAGGCAAGCAUUAUCCGGAUUCAUUGGGCGUAAAGUGUGCGUAGGCGGCAUGUUGUGUCGUAUCUUAAAUACCAAGGCUUAACCUCGGAUCUGGAUACGAAACUG
rnacentral:rRNA from 1 species